rnacentral:rRNA from 1 species
AAUGACUCUCGGCAAUGGAUAUCUUGUCUGUCGCAACGAUGAAGAAUGUAGCAAAAUGCAAUACCUGGUGUGAAUUGCAAAAUCUUGUGAACCAUCGAGUCUUUGAACCCAAGUUGCGCCUAAAGCCAAUAGGCCAAGGGAACGAUUGGCUAGGUGUCUCGUAAUG